ACCCCACUGCUAUCGGGAUAGGACUAAGACAUGCUAGUUGAGCGCUUCAGCCAAAAAGAGGCGCGGCACACAGCUCAGUAACACGUGGCUAAUCUGCCCUUGGGACCGGAACACCCCCGGGAAACUGGGGCUAAUUCUCGAUAGGUGAAGAACUCUGGAAUGAGUCUUUGCCAAAAAGUUGUUAAGGUUAUGCUCUUUGACGACGCCCAAGGAUGAGGCCGCGACCGAUCAGGUUGUUGGUGAGGUAAUGGCUCACCAAGCCUUUUACCGGUGCGGGCCGUGAGAGCGGGAGCCCGGAGAUGGGCACUGAGACAAGGGCCCAGGCCCUACGGGGCGCAGCAGUCGCGAAAACUUUGCAAUAAGCGAAAGCUUGACAGGGCUAUCCCGAGUGCCAUCCGCUGAGGAAGGCUUUUACCCAGUCUAGAACGCUGGGGGAAUAAGGAGAGGGCAAGUCUGGUGUCAGCCGCCGCGGUAAUACCAGCUCUCCGAGUGGUGUGGAUGUUUAUUGGGCCUAAAGCAUCCGUAGCUGGCUAAGUUAGUCCCUUGUUAAAUCCACCGAAUUAAUCGUUGGAUUGCGGGGGAUACUGCUUGGCUAGGGGACGAGAGAGGCAGACGGUAUUUCCGGGGUAGGGGUGAAAUCCUAUAAUCCCGGGAAGACCACCAGUGGCGAAGGCUGUCUGCUAGAACGCGCCCGACGGUGAGGGAUGAAAGCUGGGGGAGCGAACCGGAUUAGAUACCCGGGUAGUCCCAGCUGUAAACGAUGCAGGCUAGGUGUUUGGACGGGCACGUGCCGUCUAGUGCCGCAGGGAAGCUGUUAAGCCUGCCGCCGGGGAGUACGAUCGCAAGAUUGAA
rnacentral:rRNA from 1 species